rnacentral:rRNA from 1 species
UAUUGGGCAAUGGGGGAAACCCUGACGCAGCAACGCCGCGUGAUUGAUGAAGCCCUUCGGGGUGUAAAGAUCUGUCAGUGGGGACGAAACUUGACGGUACCCACAGAGGAAGCACCGGCUAACUCCGUGCCAGCAGCCGCGGUAAUACGGAGGGUGCAAGCGUUGUCCGGAAUCAUUGGGCGUAAAGAGUUCGUAGGUGGUUUGUUAAGUUUGGUGUUAAAUUCAGAGGCUCAACUUCUGUUCGGCAUCGGAUACUGGCAGACUAGAAUGCGGUAGAGGUAAAGGGAAUUCCUGGUGUAGCGGUGAAAUGCGUAGAUAUCAGGAGGAACAUCGGUGGCGUAAGCGCUUUACUGGGCCGUAAUUGACACUGAGGAACGAAAGCCAGGGUAGCAAAUGGG